ACUCUGCCUGACCCGACCUCUGCCUGUUUUACAGAUUUGCCAGAACUCUGCCUGACCCGACCUCUGCCUGUUUUACAGAUUUGCCAGAACUCUACUUAUCCUGUCAUCAGCUGAUUUCGCACUCUAUAGCCCAUAUUCUCCUCUAUAUUGACUAUGUAUAGUGAAGCCUUCCUGCAUCUUGGCUUUAGUCUGAAUGUUCUAAAAGGGCAAUGGAAGAAUGUGGAAGGUCUGAGAGGCUGUAACGGAGGCAAAAAGUGGAGACCAACCUGCCCCACUGAGCACUUGUGACAUUCAGAUGGUGCCAGCCAGACAUCUCGGAGGUGCAGGAAGCCGAUAGCCAAUCAGAAGGAGACUUCAUUAAUCAAGUUCAUUAUCCAACCUUUCCAUUAAAGAUUGGGAAGAGCCCCACACAAGGUUUCACUUUUCAUCUUUUUCUUAGUUCCAUUAUAAUUGGAAAGGCCACUAUUGGAAUGAAGCCAAUUACAACAGCAAUAAAAAAUGCAAAUUAUUCAU